rnacentral:rRNA from 1 species
CACGUAGGGUGCGAGCGUUGUCCGGAAUUAUUGGGCGUAAAGAGCUCGUAGGCGGUGUGUCACGUCGGCCGUGAAAACCUGCAGCUUAACUGUGGGCUUGCGGUCGAUACGGGCAUCACUGGAGUUCGGCAGGGGAGACUGGAAUUCCUGGUGUAGCGGUGAAAUGCGCAGAUAUCAGGAGGAACACCGGUGGCGAAGGCGGGUCUCUGGGCCGAUACUGACGCUGAGGAGCGAAAGCGUGGGGAGCGAACAGG